UAAUUUCUUAAGGGAUACAAAAUUUAAAACGAGGACAACUAAAUAGAAAUGGAAAGAGCAUUCUUUUUUAGACAAAAAAAAAAAAAUGAAUAGUGCCACAUGAAAAGACUGAGAGAGUAUAACACUUGUUUGUCACAAAUUUACUCUCUAACCCGAUAGAGUUGCAUACUGGAUGCUACUAAGUGAAAAGAGAUGAACCUCAAUUUAUAAAUAUUCAAAUAUAAUAAGGAAGCUCCUUAUAAGCCUUUCGUAUCAGCUAACUUUUGAAGUUGAGUUAGAUCGAAAAUAAGGAGUCCGCGACCUUCUGUAAUUGCUUGACUGGUUUCACACCUAAAUCUGAUACAGAAUGGGACUUGAAUGAUCAUUCUGGUGGCUGUGUAAGGAAGGAAAGCUUGCAGUGUGGUGAUGGUAAAAUGAAGGGCGGUUUUUCAGUGAAUCCCAACGUGACAUUGCCUGGGUAUUCCCUAACUGUUCCAGCUGCGGAAUGCCAAUCUACUUGCUUGAGUAACUGUUCCUCAUGUAACGCAUAUGCCUAUGAUAAUAAUGUGUGUUCAAUUUGGAUGAACAUGUGAAUCUGAAGCUACUGUCACCAGGAGAUGGUAGUGGAAAUGUGAUUUAUACCAGAGUUGCUUUCUCUGAUGAAGCAUGCGGUGAAGAUGCAAAAUCAGGGAAAUUGUCCCCGAAGCUUAAAGUCAUCAUAUCUGGCGUGGUAGCCGUUGCAGUUCUACUUCUAUGUAGCUUUAGCUACAUUUAUCAUAGGAGAAUACUGUCAAAGAAUACAGCAAGCCAACAAAGCACAGGAGGCAAUCCAGUGCCACAUUGGUUUAAACAGAGAAAGAGAAGCACAAAACCUGAUUAACGAAAAUGAUAAGCAAAACAUCGCUGUUCCAUUCUUUAGUUUGGAAAACAUAUUAGCAGCCACAGAUAAUUUCUCAGAUAGAAAUAAACUCGGACAAGGAGGUUUUGGUCCUGUUUAUAAGGUUAGCAUUAAUAAUUCACUUCAACAUGAGUUCAACUCUAUGAAGUCAUUUCAUAGCAUCCUAGUUUGCUAAACUUUCUCAUUGGUUACCAAAACAAGAUCCAACACAUAGCAAGCCAUUGAAAUGGAAAAAAACGAUUUGAGAUCACAUUAGGAAUUUCUCGAGGGCUUCUCUAUCUUCAUGAAGACUCAAGGCUCAGAAUUAUUUUCAUAGAGAUCUGAAAACAAGUAACAUUCUUUUGGAUCGAGAAAUGAACCCAAAAAUGAAUACACUGUUGUUAACCACAAAAAUGAAUACGUUAGAUACAAUUGUACUUGUAUUUCCUAAUCAACUGUUUAUCUUGGAUAUAGUACUUAUCUAUCUAGAUAUACUUGUAUCGCAAAUCAACAUUUCAACUUGUGCUUAUAUAACAAUACAAGUACCUAUGCAUAUAAAUAUGGACACAUUUCAACACUGUUGUUAAGCAAAAACAUGGAUACAUUAGACAAACGAGCAAAAAAAUAUAAUUUGUGGGUAUCAAAUUGUAUAAAUAUGGAUACAUCAGACAAACGAGUAAAAAAGAUACAAUUUGUGUGUAUGAAACUAUAUAAAUAUUCUUCUAAAUAAAAUUUUGAAAAGGCUAACAAUGUAGUAUUGAUGUACCCAACUAUACUUGGAUUUCCUAAUCAACUUUUUAAAUUUGACAGAGUACUUAUGUAUUCAGAUAUAAUUGUAUUCACAGAUCAACAGUUCAACUUGUAAUUAUAUAAUAAUACAAAUUAUGUAUAGAAAUGUUCUACUAUAUACAAAAUUGACAAUCAGAGAACCCUCAAUCUCUUUUUUGUUCAUGUUCUUGUACUCAUUUUUUUAACUAUAUACAUACAAGAUCAAAUUUUCUAAUAAUUUCGCAUGUUAGAUUUCUUUAAGCAAAUAGAAUAUAUGGUCAUUAACCUUUUUUGUUCUUCUUUCGUUCUCCAUAGCAGCAACCAGAGCCUGAAGUUUUGACUUGUUGUGAGUAAUAAACAAAUCAAAAGAAGGUAAUUCGUCCAACAAUUUAUCAAAAAAUGUAUACCUCUCGUAACCCUCCUCGGGAUAUCAAUUUUAGUCAUUGAAAUGAAUAAAUAAAUUCUUGAAUCAAAACUCUAUGAAAAUAAAA